GGACUACUGGGGUAUCUAAUCCUGUUUGCUCCCCACGCUUUCGCGCCUCAGCGUCAGUAAUGGGCCAGUGAGUCGCCUUCGCCACUGGUGUUCUUCCGAAUAUCUACGAAUUUCACCUCUACACUCGGAGUUCCACUCACCUCUCCCAUACUCAAGAUGUCCAGUAUCAAAGGCAGUUCCAAGGUUGAGCCCUGGGCUUUCACCUCUGACUUAAACAUCCGCCUACGCGCCCUUUACGCCCAGUAAUUCCGAGCAACGCUAGCCCCCUUCGUAUUACCGCGGCGGCUGGCAC
rnacentral:rRNA from 1 species